CAGCAAGAGUGGCGCCCCCCAGCGCCUUCCGCGGGAACCACACCCAGCAUCUCAGGCGCAAGCACCAGAGCUCCGAGCCGUGUCUGUGAGCAUCUGGGCUGUAUCUCCAUCAGUCGUAUGCAUCCGUUAGCAAGAUGUGUCCCAUGGUAUCAGGAAAGCCUAAGAGAGGAAGGAGCUAUUGUUCUGCGGGGUAAAUGCUUUCUACAGGCCAAGAUUUAUCAGCUCGUCUUCGACACAAACAAGCACCGAAGGGUUGGCUUGGCACCCUGAUGACAACCCUAACUUCUGGUUAUGGUAACAUUGUUUUGAACCCCCCGGACAAGCAUUUUUGUCUUCUUCUGUUUUAUGGCUGUAUUGUGGUGGUUGUUGUUUUGUAUUAAAGGCAUGGGCUGAACAGUUCAAAACACAAUCAGCUGUCCCCCAAGAUUCUACUCGCCUUAUAAAUAUAGAAAUCACCAAGAGGGAGACCGCAAAGCACUUCCUCAGGAAGGGCCCAUUCUUCUUCUGACGCUGGUGCAUCUCUCCACCGCACUUGUUACAGCAACGACACAGACCGAAGCAGAACCCUACCAGGGGCAUCAGAAUGACAAAGAGCAGUCCCAGGACAGCACAGAUGAUGACCCCGAUUUCAUAGUAGAUAAUCUGCAAGUCAAACAAAAGAAACAGCAUGUCCUCUAACACAAAAUAACGAGUAGAACAUU